UAUCUGAUCAGUCCACUGUCCUGCCGAUUCCAUCCUCUCUUUCCUUCAUGUAGCCCCUCCUCCCCUCCUCUUGACCUGCUGCCGCCGCAAUUGAUUCAAGUCGUUCCUCUUGCCUACCCUCUAGUGACGCCGCCGACGGCAACACGACACUUGCCCGGCUGCAGCGCCACCAGAAGUAGCCUCCGAGGAGCUGGUUUGAUCCGCCUAUGAGGUAGAAAGGUUGGAUGGUGCCAUGCCGCCACCCGCAGAUGUCUACCUCCGGGCAACCUCCGCCUCACGAAGCUCAUCAUCUUGAUCCGCCUGCUCAUUAUCCGGAUGAUACCGUGCCUCUGACCCUUCCAGCCACCUUAAUUACGUGUUACCCAUCUGUCAGUUUGAUGUUGAUUUCUUCUCUUCCUUCCCGAUCUUGCGCUCUGUAUGUUCCCAUCUGUCCGUUCUAUGGUGAACCCGAUCUGUUGGUUUAAGGUGCGAGCGCUUACUCUUCAGUUUCUGGAUCCGGUUUCAGGAGUUUCGAUCUGCUGGGUAACCAAUCUUCAGUUUCUGGAUCCAUUCAUGGUGUGUCACGCACCGGCAACGCUUAAUACAGGUGUGACUUUGUAUUUUCUUCUGUACAAGCGUCUGCAACCUUCCUACUCCAGCAACAGAACCUCUAGCAGCAUGGUUCAUGGCUAGGUGGUCUUCAUACUAAUUUGGUCAACUAAUUUGGGUAAAUUUUGGAGGCUGGUUUUGGCAUAUUGUCGGAGUAAUGGGCCACGGGUAGCCUCACUCGAGCCCCCGAGCUUUUCAAGACUUUGGGCCGGCUUCGCCCCACGAAACCUCAUACUGAAGCGCCGCCUUCCGGUGGCCGACUGGCUUAACGACCGGCUGUCGGAAGAUGGCCAAGCACCAACAGACGACACCAAGACCGGCCGGCUCCUAGCAGACGGCCUCCAGAGAGGCCGGCGUCUAGCAGGCGGCCACCCAGCGUCCUUAGAGUCUGCGCCCUCAUCAAGAGGACAAGACAGGGUGAGGCUACAGCGUAGUUCCUCACCCCCGAAUCUUGGGCUUGACAUGGCUGCAGUGCCCCGUACACGCGGAGAUCUCCGCACGGCGCAGCACUGUUGCCACUCCCUCCUUGACGUCACUCCUGAUAGGCGGAGUCCUGUUCCCCACGACGACCUAUCGGUACAGCUUGUAGGCGGCGGGCCCUACCAGGCAGCGAGAGCCCGGAAGAUGGCGGAAGCCAGACCAGCCGGACCUGAGGGAGGCCAGCCUCCAGCAGGCGGCCAGUUCCUCCCUCGGGACCCGUGGACCAUCAACCAGAUAAGACAUGGUGUGGCUACAGUGAUCUCCCACUAGACGGCGGGACUGUAGCCACACUCCGCUGACCGAGCCUGCGUCAUUAGCAACACGGCUACAGUGAUCAGCCACCAACCAGACCCGCCAACGGCGGGAGCGGCCUGUCGGCUUCGUACCAGACCAGUCGGCAGGGCCCACCAGGUGGCGGGCCCCAGCAGCCGGCGGAGAAGCUGGCGACCAGAGACACUGACAGUCGGGCCCAGCACCCGGCCACAUUGCAUUGUACCCCUGGGGGUAGGCCUAUAUCAACCCCCCAGGGCACCCAUGCAAACGGUUCCCACUCCAUUAGAACUAGCCACUGCCCUAGAGGAAGAAGAGAGCUAGCCAUGCCUCCUUCUACCUCUAGCACACAACUCAAGGAGCACCAUUGUAUCACUUGUGCCUUAGUGAUCAUGCGGAGACCCCGCAAAGUAGGACUAGGGGUGUUAUCUCCUAGGAGAGCCUCGAACCUCGGUAAAGUGCGCCGGCGUUCGUGUCUACGCCUUAUCCCGCUUCUACGCACCGACAACGUUCUACUUGCUCCCACCAUGAUAAGCCAUCCGUUGGCAUAUGUCGCACCCAACCCCCGACACAUAUUGAUUUGGGAUUUCUUUACUUCAAUCUCUGAUGGCUGCUGGACAGUUUAUUACUACGACAUUUGAGGAGUUCUUCAGUUUUGAAUCUCUGGUGGAUAGCGGCUUUUAAUUUUCUUCUUCUCUAUUUGUUGAUCUGAUUCCAGCAUGCUCAAAGUUAAAUGGAUCUUUGCGUUCAAUCGACUAUCACAGGUAAAUACUUGCCUUCAGGUUAUGACGUUGUAGAAGUAUAACUUCUAGAAACUUCUGUGAUGUUUCCCUUUGUGGUGCUUCAGAUUACAAAGUAAAAUCAAUAUCUUUUGUUGGCUCGCCUUUUUAUUGUUCAAUAUUUAGACUAUAAACUUAAUUAUGUCUCUUAUUUUGUGAAAUAAUAUUAUCAAUUACUAUCCUGCUAAUCUUACAAGGUCACACAAAUGCAACAUUUAGUUGGACAGAUUAUGCAAAGUACGGGAUAAAACAAGACUCAUACUGAUAUAAUCGAGAUCACGCAGUGAAGGUUUUCUCCUAAAAUAGUGAGGGUUAAUCUACCAUUUAUAAAGAUGGGUGAUAAUGACCUUUCCUAGAUGGUGUAGUAAUGUCAUGGUCCCUUUGAUGACAUACAUAUUUGUUCUUUGCUGUGAACUUACAAGAAAAUCAACCUAUUUAUUCAAAUUUCAAAAGCAUGGAACUGUUUUUUCUUUCUUUUUGUAUACUUCUCCUGAUGUUUUGAUGACAAGCACUUAUUGCUAAUCUGCAUUUCAUGAUUACAUGUUUUUUGGCUGAUAGUAUUAUUAAACCUUUAAAAUAAUUUUUUUACUCGAUAUAAUGGUUUGCAAUGGUCUGUUGCUCAAUAUAAUUGCUGGUAUACAAUAGAUAAAACUAUACUUUCACCAAUUUAUCAUCCCUUUUUAAUAUAUUCAUUACUACAAAUUAUGAAACAGAACAAAUCAGUGCAUCAGUGAGGACCAGGGUUACCAAAUGAUGAGUUGAUAAACUGCCAAUAAGAUGUGAAAUCAAGAACCAAGUGUGUCGUAUGAUGGGCAAGAACAACGAGCUAGGCUAAAAAAUAGGGAAAACGAAGAUCAAAUAAGUUGAUGGGUGUUUGUGAUUUCAGUUUAAGGCUGAUUGUGCAUCAACUUUAGAGCUGUCUUUUUACCUUACAACCUGAUGUUGUUGCUAAAACUCCUAGCUGGUUAGAAUAAGAUUUUAGUGUCUGAUCUUGCAACUGCAGUACACACAUUACACUGCUAAAACAAGUACCGGUGCUCUGUUUUGCUAACCUGAAUAUUUAGUUUGUUGUCCUUAAAUCCAAGCAACUUAUUUUGUUGUACUCCCUCAGUCAUAAUAUAAGACGUUAUUAUAUUCAAUAUGCUUGCAUAUUGUAUGUAAUAACGUCUUAUAUUAUGGACUGAGGGUGUAUUUAGCAUUCAUAUUUCAUUUCAUCAUAUGUUUACGAAUUUCCUACCAUUAUAUCGAAGAAAUGCAUGGGCGCGGCAAUGCGCGCCAGCAAUGAUCUAGUAUUGUUAACAAGGAAUAGCUAAAGAAGUAGUGAAGCCUAGGCACGUCGACUAAUUAUGUGACAGCUGAUCUCUGUGCAGAUUAGAAGAUGUACGGUUUGAGAAACAACAGCGGCUGGAUAUCUUCUCGAUCUCCACAUCUUCGGCUACCAUCUUAGCGGUGAGAGGUGAGGGGACCUUCGAUCGGAGAGUUUUGUGAUCUUCGUCAGCAUUUUUAUAGGCUUUUGCGAAUAAAAUUGUUAUCCCUACCAUGGCAUUGUUAUGAGAGAGAUUUGUGUCAUCCGUUUACUCAAAUAUGACGAGUUUAUGUUGUUCUGUCAUGACUUUGUUGGUUUGAUUCUUCGGCGUUGGAAAUUUCCUCGACGCUGCAGUGAAUUUUUUGUGAUUCGACAACAUGCACUUAUAGGAAGAUCCUCGGACCAUGUAUGUUCAUCGAUCAUGGCUACCCAUCUAUUUGAAUGGGCGAGUCAUGCGUUUUUAAGAAAUCUUUAUUGAUAAUCCAGUUUAUGCAGGUGAAGGAAUGAUGAUGUCACUGCUCCAAUCCAAUUGUAGUCCCUUUCCUAAAGUAUUCGAAGAAUUUCAUUUUACAAAGAUUGAUGCCACGAACAAGACGUCUCCAAGAAUUGUUACUAUAAUUCUUAGGUGCAAGGAUUACUUUAUAAUAUUUUGGGUUUUGGGUGCAAAUCAUUGUACCUGUAAUGAUUACAAGUAUGAAUAAGGUUAAAUGUGUGUCUAAAAACUACAUGA